UUAUGAGUUUGAUCCUGGCUCAGGGUGAACGCUAUUAGUAUGUUUUAUACAUGCGAGUUGUACGAAACUUUCGUAGCGAACGGGUGAGGAAUAUGCAGAAUUUUUACCUUUUAAUUUAGAAUAAGCAUUUUCAAAGCAGUUGUUGUUUUUGAAAAAAAAACUUUGGUUUGUGUUAAUACUAAAACAAGGUUAUUAUAUUAAAAAUAAUCGUUAAAAGAUAACUCUGUAAAAGAUUAGGUUGUUGGUAAUUUAAUAGCUUACCAAGCCAAUGAUCUUUAGUUGGUCUGAGAGGAUGAUCAACCACACUGGAACUGAGAAAGGUCCAGGCUGAGUUUUCGGCCAGCAGUAAAGAAUAUUGGACAAUGAACGAAAGUUUGAUCCAGCAAUACUAUUUGAAUGAUGAAGGCUGUAAUUUGGUUGUAAAGUUCUUUCGUUAAAAGUGAUAAUGACAAUUUAAAGAAUGGAAGUCCCGGCUAAUCUCGUGCCAGCAGCCGCGGUAAAACGGGAGGGGCAAGCGUUAUCCGGAAUGACUGGGCGUAAAGUGUCCGUAGACUGUAAAACAAGUUAUUUGUUAAACUUUGAGGCUUAACUUCAAAUUAGCUUAUAAGACUAUUUUACUUGAGUUUUAUGCAGAAGAGCAGAAUUUUAUAUGGAGGGUUAAUCCCCGUAGAGAUAUAAAGGAACACCAUUAGCGAAGGCGGCUCUUUAUUAAAAACUGACGUUGAGGGACGAAAGUAUAGGGAGCAAACAGGAUUAGAUACCCUGGUAGUCUAUACUGUAAAUUCUGAGUGCUGUAAUUUAAUAACAAAUUUUGUUUAGAUUUUUAAGCUAACGCCAUAAGCACUCCGCCUGAGGAGUACGAUCGCAAGGUUGGAACUCAAAGGAAUUGACGGGGGCCUGCUACUAGUGGUGGAGCAUGUGGUUUAAUGCGAUAAUCCGCGCAAAACCUUACCAACCCUUGACAUAAAAUUAUUUUUAAAAUUUUAAAUUUAUUUUUACAGGUGUUGCACGACUGUCGUCAGCUCGUGUCGUGAGACGUUAGGUUUAUUCCUUGAACGAGCGUAACUCUUAUUUUUAAUCAAAAGUUUUACCUGUAUUUAAUAUUUAUAAUACUAAAUUAAGGCUUUAAAAAAACUGUUAAUGAUAAAUUAAAGGAAGUAAGAAUCAAGUCAAGUCCUUGUGGCCCUUAUGGGUUGGGCUACACACGUGCUACAAUGAAAAUUACAAUAAGUAACAAAAAAUUAAAUAUUUUAAGUUAAUCUUGAAAAAUUUUCCCAGUUCGGAUUGUAAGCUGCAACUUGUUUACAUGAAGGUGGAAUCACUAGUAAUCGCAAAUCAGAAUGUUGCGGUGAAUAAGUACACUGGCCUUGUACACACCGCCCGUCACAUGCAGAGAGUCAGUUUUGCUUGAAGAUUUAUUAAUUUAAAUCUAUUGAGAAAUUGAUGAUUUGGAUGAAGUCGUAACAAGGUAGCUGUACGGGAACGUGCAGCUGGA
rnacentral:rRNA from 1 species